UCAGUACGGCUCUUCACGUCCGAGCCGGUCUCGCUUUUCCCUAGGCGUCGGCCGAAGCCGCCUGCAGACGAGUUUUGGACGGAAGGGCCUGCCGUGCGGGGACGUGGCCACGCAGCCGCAGUCCGGCCGAUGCGGUUCACGUGCCGGCGGCGACGGCGGCGGCCCUUCCUGGACCCGUCGUGGUUCCGCCGGGGACUCCGAGCCUCAGCAGCGAGGUUGGGAAGAUGAGAAAAGAAGUGAAGAGAAUCCGAGUUUUUAUCUGAAAACUUGUCAGGAGUGUGAGCAGACUGGAGUCCAAAAAGGGCACUGAAGAUGCACUGUUAAAAAGCCAGAGACGAGCAGAAUGAUUGAAAUCCCCAGAACGAGCUUGAAAAAUCCCUGCCAUGAAGAUCAGCAAGACAUACAUGUGAACAGAAGGCCUCCGAAAGACUUGAGAAAAACACCAGGACAAGGCCUCUCUGCUCAUUUGAAAAGAAGCUGCUCACUUUCCCCACCCUGGGCUCAGCCCGCCAGGAGCCUGUUUGCAUUGAAAGAAAUCCUCGCUUUGGAGUCUCAGUUUCCCCUGAGAAAGUAGGAGCAGUUCUUUGAGGAAGGGCCGACCCGGAGCAGCCCUCACGGCCGCGCUGCGCCCCUGCACGGCUUCUGCAGACUCCCCACCUGACUGCCCGGAGCAGGGGAGGCCGUGGGAUGAGGGCUGCAGUUCUGCGGACGCGCCUGCUCUGCUCGCCUCUCCUCCGCCCCCUCCGCGGGCUGAGGGGCCCCCGCUGCGGGUCUCCCAGGGAGACUAUCGCGGGGGGGGGGCAGGUCCUUGGGGGGUCUGGGUGUGCCUGCAGGCUCCCGGUGCGCGGAGGAGACGCCUCCCCGGACAUCCCUAACGGAUCUCCCCUCAGCGGGAGGCUCCGGACAAUUGGAUCCGAUGCGCCCAGACGUGUGAAAGGGGGAGGCCGGGACCGCGUCGGGACCCUGCGGCGGAGGAGAGACGCGCAGGCUCCCCGAGCUACCAGGUCAGAGAGAGGAGAGCCCGGGCAGGGGCGGAAGACCGGGCGUGGGAGCUGGGACUGGGUGCCACCGUGGCCCCGUAGUGUUCAGCGGCAUUGAGCACGAUGAGCUCAAUUGGAGAUUUGGUUUUUAUUAAGCUUUUUAUUUUGACAUCAGUGGAGAAUUCAUAAAGUUGUAAAUGCUGAUGCAGAGAGUUCUCAUGUUCCUUUUAAACCAUUUCCCCAGUGGGAACAUCUCGUCUGACUAUAGCACAAAUUCAUGGCCAGGAAUGUUCAGAGAGUUCCCACGUGAGUCUCAGGCAGCCCGUCCUGGGAACCCUGGCUGAGGACAGAAUGUAUUAAGAACUGGAGAGAAAGAAGGUUCGGGAACGAAACUGAGACUGGGACCACAUUGGACCAGUGCUCUAAGUGGAAUAUGUUGAUGAAUACUUUGAUCUUUACCUCAGUGUUAAAUGGGAAACCUGCAGGGUUUGAAGUAGGAAGACAUUUAAACAGUUACUGAUCUAAUAAUCUGCUUUAUAUAAUAGUCUGGUUCUCUGGAAAGAGAUUUGGCAGAUAAAAGUCCUGAGUGCAAAUCCCAUCUACUGCUGAGAAACGUGGACACAAUAUUCACACUUUCUAACCCACAAUUUCCUUUAAAUAUGUUUUAAAUAUGAGAAUAAUAAUUUAUCAUAAGUGUUAGGGAUAAAAUAUUAGAACAUCUGCUGUUGGGUUAUAUGUUAGACUUAUAUUUGUUACCCAAGUCUAACCUGCAUUUUUUUUAAUCAGUGAAGAAAGCCAAGGUUUAAAAAGAACCUUUGAGUCUAGCACUAUUCCGUGCCCAUUUAAUGAGAGGAUGCAAAAUCUGAAUAAGUGCAAAAAUUUUUCAUUUAUUGGAGUGGCUACUAUGUUUAUACCAGCUGUUUGAAAUAUUUACAUAGAUACCAUGAAGGACAUUUGUGUAGGCAAAUCCUUCUGACACAUGACAGUUUAGGGAAAAUCAAACUUAAGUUUAGAGUUGAAGUUAUUUUGAAGCUCUUAUGUCCCACCCACUGGACUUUUUCACUUACAUGUAUUGAUCAACAGAUACUAAGAGCAGGAGACGCUGCCUACGAUGCACAAAAGGCUACAGGUUUUUCAAACUAAUCACUAAAAGGACUAAAAGGAUUCUUAGAUAUGUGGAUUGUUUGAUGCAUAUCUAUCUGUUCUAUGUUUACUAUGCGUAAAUAUUCAUAUAAAUAUACAAGUAUUUAAUAUACAACUAUACUAAAAUCACAAGUGUCCUUAUAAAAGAGGAGAUUUGAUGCAAACACACAAAAAGACAAUAUGAAGAUGGCGCUGAGAGAGAAAUCAAAGUUUUGGCAUAAAGAGAGGAAAAAGUCAGGCUGGAUAGAUAAAAAUAGAGACAGAAGGAUAAAAUCAAGAUAUUCUGUGCAACUAGCUUUUUUCAUUUAACAGUCAAUGGUAUAUCUUCAUAUAAAUAUAUACAAUAUACACAAUUCCUUUUAAGGUAUCCUUGUUACAUACUUUUGCCAGCAGUGCUGUAAUGAACAUAGUUGUGCAGAUUAUCAUAAGUUCAUUCAAUUAGUUCUAGACUUUUUGAAGUUGAAUUUUAAGUCAAAUAAUAUGUGCAGCUUAUAUUUUAUAGGUAAUUCCAAAUUUCCCAAACCCUUGUAAUAUUUUAUUAUGGAAAGACAGAUUACAAGCAUACUUGUUUCUCCAACCUAUCAAACGAGUGCCAUUUUAAAUACUCCUGUUUCACACACACAUUUAAAUAUGUACAUGCAUAUAAAAUAUAUGUACUUCAAUGAUUCUGUUCAGUUACAAAAUUUCUCCAUUUGGGAAUCAAAAUAGUGAAGUUGUAAAUUAAUGAAGUCAUAAUUUCUAUUGUUUUCUUUAAGAAUUUUCAUCCACAAACAUAGUUUAUCUCCUACUUAAGUCUUGAAUGUAUUAAAGAAAUGAUUUCUCUCUAGUAUAAUUUGUAGUUCAGUUCAUUUCUGCAAAUGAGAAAUUUUGGAAAUCUUUUUGUGGAAUCUAUGACAUAUACCAAGUGGAAUAGCUUAUAUGAAGUGGUGGUGGGUUAAUUUAGGACACUCAGACUUGUGCAUUUAGAGGUUCUGAGUAUUAACUCUAGCUGGAAAAUGAUGAACUACAUGCUUGCUUAUGUCUUCUGCUCCCCAGUAUUCCACAAUUUAUGGUGCUUAGGAGAUCCCUUUAGAUACUGGAACAAAGUAUCAAAUAUAUGGAGACCAGUGUAGGCAGGAAAGUUGACCAUAGUAUUCUAUAGAAACAGGCAAUUUCCAAUAUCUAGGAAACAAAAGAAGCUAUAAACCUGACAGCCAGAGGCAGGCUUGGUAAUCAGGUUUUCUAGUUGUUUACAGUUGGAAAAACAAGGUCAGCUAAUGAACUUUACCCCUGCGGAGUUAAAGAUAGGCUUGCUUAGAAUGCCUCUUGUUGGAAGGCAUGUGCCAUUAUCCACUUCAGUAAAAUUGAAAAUAUUACUUUCAUCUGAGAAAUCACAUUUACUGAUACUCUUUGAGAUAUUUUGCCUCUUUCCAACUGUGACAAGCCUGUAUUUGUCUUAAAGCAAAUUGCCUUGUCAGAUGACAGGCAGUAUUUUAAGUGCCACAAAGAAAAUUCCUCAUGGCAGCACAAAGGAACUUUGGGGGAUCACGGAAUUGCUCCACGUCCUGAUGUGGAUGGUGGUUAGGUGACCAUAUGUAUUUGUCAAAAAUUGUAGAACCAUAUACUACAAAGAAUGAAUUUCACUGCAUAUAAUUUGAUUGAAAAACUAAAUUAGAGAUUGUCAGUUAAACAGUUGAAGCAUUUGCUGGCAGUAACCAACUGCUUGAUCUUAUCUGAAAACCAGCAUCUUUAAAUUUGUAGCUGUGUAAUACAGACUAUCUAAUUUAAAAUAGCUUUCUCAUAAUGUUACUUUUUAAAAUUGAUAUAUCUGGAAAUGUGUAGGUAAGAAAUGAGACUUGACCUCAAAGGACCCAUUAGUUAAAUCAUAUUUCUUUCCCCUCAUUCCUGAAAAUAUAAAUUAAGUGACACACUUAAAAGAAAUAUUUCAUUCGCUUGAAAAACUGAAACCCUCUCCCACUAAGCUCCCCCAGUACCCAGCUCGGGGCUGAGAAGACAGUCUUCCUCUCAUGCUGUGCUUGUCUUCCUGAGCUCCUGCCUCCAUGGGGGGAAUAUGGGUCUGUUUGAAAGGGCUCUCAACGCAGACACAGUGCACUUCACAGCACCAGUGACAUCCAGGGCUCCACCCUGGAGAGUGAGUCUGCGGGCUGCAGCAGGGGUUGGUGACUGUAGGGCCCAUUUGGCUGCUGCUUAGUGGCCCUUAGGGAGGGAAUCUCACAUGUUGUUUUUCCUUAGAAUGUGUGGAAUUGGUGAGUUUUUGUCUGCAGCUUACUCUUUGCUGUCACCAGGAUUCUUGUUCCUUGUCCUGUUGUAUCAGGAAAGUCUCCCAGAGCAAUGGGCCCACAAGCAGAGCGCCUUGAACAUCCUGCCUGCGCAUGUGGCAAAUUCAGUGUUGGCAUUUAGUGUGGGGUUGGGAGAAGUUGUAUUAAUAUAUUUAUUAAUAUACAUGCUUUUAUUAAAACAUAAAUAUGUGUAUAUAUAAAUAUCUUUAUAUCAA